rnacentral:rRNA from 1 species
UACGAGGGGGGCGAGCGUUGUUCGGAAUUAUUGGGCGUAAAGGGCGCGUAGGCGGUGCGGUAAGUCACCUGUGAAACCUCUAGGCUUAACCUAGAGCCUGCAGGCGAAACUGCCGUGCUGGAGUGUGGGAGAGGUGCGUGGAAUUCCCGGUGUAGCGGUGAAAUGCGUAGAUAUUCGGAAGAACACCGGUGGCGAAGGCGGCUCACUGGCCCGUUACUGACGCUCAGGCGCGACAGCGUGGGGAUCAAACAGG